AUAUGUGGUCACAGAAGGCCUGUGUGAUGACACUAGAGCUGAAAUCAGAAGCCCACAGCAGUGUGGAGUACUCAUGAAGCUGAAACCAAGCCCGAGCAGCUGGACUGCUGAGAGUUAAGCAGAGAGCAAGGAGCAAGAGAGAGAAAACAGAGACCCAAGUAGGUUAUGGAACUUGCCCCAGUCACACAGCUAGUAACUGCUGAAGCUAUCACCUGAGUCUGCGAAAUGAAAGGAGACACGUUACGUGCUUAGCAAACAGACCUCCAGGGCUUAAAGAGUAUCCGAGAAACACUCGUGCCGCCGGCACGGAGCAUGUGCUCAGGAGAGGCAUGCUGGAUGAGCGGGAGCCGAUGGGGGCCGCUCACCUGCAACAGCGGCAGGAGCAGCUGGUUGAGCCUCCGCCGCUCCAUGAGGCUGACGGCGCCCUCGCCCGUACGGCCCAUCUCGUUCAGCAGCACCAGCACCGCGAUCUUAUACGGCGUCACCCAGUCCUUGAUGCCGAACACGUUGGCGUGCACGACCCCAUUGGUCAUCAUGGGGUUGAAGUAGAGGCUCUCGUGGACGCUGGCCAUGGCGCCCCCGGACUAAGUCAGAAGCCCGCCAGCUACCGGGAUUCCUAGGCCUCCGCUCACCCUCGCUGUAGCCCAGGAAACGGGUAAUCCUUGUUCGCGGUGAGCCGUCGGCCAAUCAGAGAAGCCAGACCAGAGCACAUGGGAAGGCUACAGCCAAUCAGAAUGUCCGGGGGUGCUGUGCAGGGCGGGGCAAAGACGGUGCACUUAAAGACGGAGUCCCCUACAGAAACUCCAGCGGAACAACUAGGUUCCCGGGAGACUUGGGGUCGGACUGUAGAAGGGAGAUAGAUGAUGGAUGCUCGGGGGCCUGGGGCUGAAUGGCUCAGGUUGGGGUGGGUGGAGGACCUGCCCAUCUGUUUAAUUAAAAACAGUUAAAAUUGAAUUUUGAAACAAUUCUGUUUAAAAGCAGCAGAAUUCGGGGCAGCCCAGGUGGCUCAGCGGUUUAGCGCCGCCUUGAGUCCAGGGCCUGAUCCUGGGGUCCCGGUAUCGAGUCCCAGGUCAGGCUCCCUGCAUGGAGCCUGCUUCUCCCUCUGCCUGUGUCUC